rnacentral:misc_RNA from 1 species
AAAUUGCGAUAAGUAGUGUGAAUUGCAGAUCUGCUUGUGAAUCAUCGAAAUUUUGAACGCAAUGCGCCCUUGGGCAACCUUGGGCACGCCAGGUUGAGUGACACUAAUUUAUAUUUACCUUUCUGGUAAGAAUUGGCAUUGUAAUGAGAGCUUUUUAUGCAGGAAUUACUAUGCUAAAAUGCCAUCGAAUUUGCAUCGAGAAGCUGUAUUUAUGAACGCCUGAAGUGGGGCAAAUUCUGGCUAGUAGUUUCCAGCAAUCAAAGUGCAGUUUUUAAAUUGGCACAGCAAUUAGAACUGUGCAAUAUGCAGAAGGCCAAACUGCCUAAAACUGGUUAAAACAAUCGUGUCCUCAGCUCUGGCGGGAUUACCUGCUGAACUUAA